UGGGCGUUAAGUUGCAGGGUAUAGACCCGAAACCCGGUGAUCUAGCCAUGGGCAGGUUGAAGGUUGGGUAACACUAACUGGAGGACCGAACCGACUAAUGUUGAAAAAUUAGCGGAUGACUUGUGGCUGGGGGUGAAAGGCCAAUCAAACCGGGAGAUAGCUGGUUCUCCCCGAAAGCUAUUUAGGUAGCGCCUCGUGAAUUCAUCUCCGGGGGUAGAGCACUGUUUCGGCAAGGGGGUCAUCCCGACUUACCAACCCGAUGCAAACUGCGAAUACCGGAGAAUGUUAUCACGGGAGACACACGGCGGGUGCUAACGUCCGUCGUGAAGAGGGAAACAACCCAGACCGCCAGCUAAGGUCCCAAAGUCAUGGUUAAGUGGGAAACGAUGUGGGAAGGCCCAGACAGCCAGGAUGUUGGCUUAGAAGCAGCCAUCAUUUAAAGAAAGCGUAAUAGCUCACUGGUCGAGUCGGCCUGCGCGGAAGAUGUAACGGGGCUAAACCAUGCACCGAAGCUGCGGCAGCGACGCUGAUGCGUUGUUGGGUAGGGGAGCGUUCUGUAAGCCUGUGAAGGUGUACUGUGAGGUAUGCUGGAGGUAUCAGAAGUGCGAAUGCUGACAUAAGUAACGAUAAAGCGGGUGAAAAGCCCGCUCGCCGGAAGACCAAGGGUUCCUGUCCAACGUUAAUCGGGGCAGGGUGAGUCGACCCCUAAGGCGAGGCCGAAAGGCGUAGUCGAUGGGAAACAGGUUAAUAUUCCUGUACUUGGUGUUACUGCGAAGGGGGGACGGAGAAGGCUAUGUUGGCCGGGCGACGGUUGUCCCGGUUUAAGCGUGUAGGCUGGUUUUCCAGGCAAAUCCGGAAAAUCAAGGCUGAGGCGUGAUGACGAGGCACUACGGUGCUGAAGCAACAAAUGCCCUGCUUCC
rnacentral:rRNA from 1 species